ensembl:lncRNA
UGCUUUGAGUUUCAGGGAGCUAAUGCUUGUCAGUCCUUAGAAGUUUGUCUCACUGUGUCCUUACCCAGCUUAGUGUUUAGUUAAUAUGCCAUUCAUGUUAAUAUUUAUCAUUUCCUCUCUAUGUACAUAACAUACUUCUUUUGGGGAAGGUGAACCUCACUGGAGGCCUACAGAUGAGGAGUACGUUCUAUUUCUUGAUAACCUGCAUUAUGCUUUACUGUUGUUUGUUUUAAAAUCCUUCUGCAUCUGUGUUCUCUGAGGAGAACAGGUGGCAGCUGCUACAAAGGAUCUCCAGCAUUCAGCUGCAGACUUUAGUAGAGAAGUUUGAUGUAGGGAAAGGCAAUGCAAGCACGAGGUGGCACCAAGCAGACAUGUCAGGGCUGGGGAGGUGGGCAGUCAGGCUGUCUAUGCAGUGUCAGACGUUAAGCAACUGCUUUUCCUGCCUAUGCAGAUCUCCUUAAGAGACACUCUGGAUCCACAUCAAUUGGAGAACGACACUCCAGAGCCAAUAAAAGAACAUUACGGAACAGAUGGCUCACUGUAACCUCCUGUACAUUAGAAAUUUGGUAUAUUUGAUGCUACUUCUGUGAACAUAAGGUACUGAGAGUAGAAUCAUAGAAUCAAGGAAUCAUUAAGGUUGGAAAAGACUGCUAAGUUCAUCCAGUCCAACCAUCCACCUACCACCAACAUUGCCCAGCAAACCCUGUCCUGAAGUACCACAGCUGCCCUUUCCUUAAGCACCUCCAGGGACAGUGACUCCACCACAUCCCUAGGCAGCCUGUGCCAAUGCCUUGCCACCCUUUCUGAGGAGAAACUUCUCUUAAUAUGCAAUCUGAACCUCCUAUGGUGCAAUUUGAGGCCAUUCCCUGUAGUCCUAUUGCUAUUUACCUGGAAGAAGAGGUCCCACCUCACUACAACCUCCUUCCAGGUAGCUGCAGAGAGUGAUAAGAUCUCCCCUGAGCCUCCUCAUCUCCAGACUGAACAAUCCCAGCUCCCUCAGCCACUCCCCGUAAGACCUGUGCUCCAGACCCCUCACAGCUUUGCUGCCCCUCUCCAGGGCCUCCAUGCCUUCUUGUAGGGAGCAGUAUAUUACCAAAUCACAGGGACGAUCAUCUCCCCACUCCGACUGCACCAUUUCAGGCUGCCAUUGGACUCCUUGACCACUGGAGGGCACUGCCGGCUGUCACCAACACCCCCAGACCCUUUUCCGCCCUGCGGCUUUAUAGCCGCUAUGCUCCAAGCCUGUAGUGAUGAUGCAUGGGGUUUCUGUAGCAGAAAAGCAGCACUCAGCUCUUGAUGUUGUUGAAGCUCAUGCAGUUGCAGGCAGCCCAGUGAUUCAGCCUAUCUCAAUCCCUCUGUAGGACCUUCCUACCCCAGGAAGAUUGGCACUUCCUCCCAACUUGGUGUCAUCUGCAAACUUACUGAGGGUGCCCCCAAUUCCCUCCUCCACAUCAUCAAUAAAUGCAUUGAACAGGACAGGCUGCAGUACCGACCCCUGAGGAACACCUCUCAGAACCAGACUCCAUCUGGAUCUCCAUUCACCACUUCCCUCUGGGCCCAGUUUUUUACUCAGCAAAGAGUGUACUCAUCCCAGCCAUGGACUGCCAGCUUCUCCAGGAGAAUACUGUGGGAGGCAGUGCCAGAAGCUUUGCUACACUCUAGGUAGGUUACACCUACUGCCUUUCAUCCACCAGGCGGGUCGCUGGUCAUAGGAGGACAUCAGGUUGGUCCGGCAGGACAUGCCUUUCAUGAACCCAUGCUGGCUGGGCCUGAUCCUUGGGUCGUCCUGCACAUAUGUGUGAUCUCAGUCAAGACAAUUUGUUCCAUAACCUUCCUCGGCACUGAGGCCAAGCUGACAGGCCUGUAGUUCCCCAGAUCCUCUCUAUGAUCCUUCCUGUAAAUGGGCACCACAUUAGCAAGUAUUCGGUCAUCUGGGGCCUCCCUGUUUGAUUAGGACUGCUGCUAAAUGAUGGAAAGUGGCAUUUAGUAACCACAUCCACCAACUCCCACAGUACCCUCAGGUGGAUCCAGUCCAAUCCCAUGGACAUAUGACAGCCCAGGUGGAGCAGCAGGUCACGUACUGUUUUAUUCUGAAUUGUGGAGGGUUUAUUCUGCUCCCCACCCUGUCUUCCAGUUCAGGGGGCUGAGUACCCUGAGAAUAACUGGUCUGACUAUUAAAGACAAAUG